rnacentral:lncRNA from 1 species
CAGCCCCAACGCGUCGACGUCGUCGGCUCCAUGAUUUUUGGCAGCGCGGUUGCGGUGUCGUGAAACCCCGGUGAGGCCUCGCGUCCCUGUAUGCCUUGUGUUUGAUGUAAUGCCAAACCUAUAAAUCGAUGUCGUUUCUUGUAGCCCUCUGUCGAUGACACGUCUGCUCUUUAUCCUAGCACCUCGUCGUAGUUCCAUGCGUUGCAGGUGAGUCAUCCUUUUCUUUAUAUAUUCAAUUUAGUUUUCACUUGGCAUCGAUGGUUAGCUAUUGAUUACAUUUAUAUGUAUAUGUGUGUUUUGUGAGGAGAGGAAUUUCAUGUGUGUGAAGAGAAGCAAGGCAUGUGACGCUUGCUAGGUGCCAAAUAGAAAGACCGAACCCAAACCAUCGCCGUGUUCACGGACGCCGCGUCGAGUUUAGUUGUGGUAAGUCGAUCCAUUGUUUCCGUUGGUCGGAUGGAUGGAUUAGUUGGAUGUUUUAAUUAUGUCGGUCCUCUUGAUAGUAGCAUGUGUGUGUCAUGGUUGUAGGUAUAAUACUUAUUGAAAUGCACGAGUCACUUGCAGCGAUUUGGUCGUUGUCGUGUCUAUGUGUAUGGAGUUGAUGUCCGGCUAGGGGAAUCAUUAUGUUAUAUAUGGUGAUCGAUUAGGAGUCUUGACCAAGUGUUGAUUGAUACUUGAGUAUGAAAUAGACUAGUUUAUAUACACGAUUAACUAGGUGGUUUUAACUCUAAUUUAGGAUGAUGUGUUAGAAUAGUUGAAGUAUCAAGCAUAUGGUGAUUGUAGAGGUUAACUAGGAGCUAAAUUGAAUUCUUGCUGUUUGGGACUGCAUGACCAUAUUUUAUAUGAAAGUGUUAUAUAGAAAAGUUGUAGAUAACUUCUUUAUCUUGGUUGUGUUAAAAUUUCAUGACCAUAGGUAUAAUAGUUUGGGAGUUAUGAUUUUUCCAAGUCCAGUUUCAGAAUCUGUCCAAAUUCUGUACAGGUUUCGAAAAUUGGAUUGUUUGGCUAAGCUAACCUGAGAAUCAGCCCAUAGACAAAUUGUAGUACUUUUCUUAAACUUUCCAAAAAGUCUUAGAUCACCCUUUUUGGUGGUCUAGAGACCAAGUUACAGUUGUUUGAACUAUAGAGUCUGAAUCUAUCCAAAUCUGGACAGAGAAGUCUGUUUGUAUUAACUGACUUUGAUAUGUAUUGAAUUAACAUGUGAUGUUUAUAAAUGAAUUGUAUACAAUUCUAUUAGCUUUCUAAAAUGUCUAGGAUCACCUGAAUUGGAUGCUUGAGACUCCGGUUAUGGAUUUUUGAAGUGAGUAGUCGAAUUCUGUCCAAAUGUGGACAGAAUUUAUGUUUAGUUCUGUUUGACCUUUUUAAUGAUCGAAUCUUGUUGUGAUGGUAAUACAAAAGUUAUAGAGAACUUUAUAAGAUUUCUAGAAAGUCCUAGUUUACUAUUUUUGGAUGGAUAUUUUGCGAAUUAUGAGCAAAACAAUUGACUACUGUGCUGCUAUCCAGAAAAUCUGCACGGGUUAAAUUGAUUACUUGGAAUCAUUUUUGCUUGGCUAGAUAGGAUUAAUUAGUUCUUGGUUCUUGAUUGGUGAAGUCUUGCAGUAGCUAACCUCAAGUUAACAUGUGCCCCAUGCUUAUUGUGUUUAGUUAUUGUUACCUAAUGUUUCGAUUAGGUCCGAUUACCUCAAAGUUCAUGAUGGUAUAAAGUCAGAAGUAUCUAGUGUUUAUGCAUAAAAGUGUUUUAAACCUUUAAAUUAAGAUAAAUAUUAUACCAUAGAAUUCUAUGCUUGUUAAUAAUGAGUUGUUCCUUAGUACUAAGAGUGGUGUUAAUCAUUCGGUAGGAUACUCUAGUUCAUGAGGUUGAGAUUUAUGUGUAGACUUUUGAUGCUUGAGUUAGAUCCGUUUAAGUGAGAAAAAUGUAAUUGUGAUACGUAGUGAUAUGUCAACAUAUAGUAAUUGUUUUUAAAUAUUGCGGUACAUCAGUGUUAUAUUCUAAAUAUAUUAGGAUUUGUAUAUUGCUAAUGUUACUUGAUGAUUGGUUUAGGUCCAAUUGACUAGAACGUCAUGUCUGAUAUAGAGUUAAAUAUAUCUAGUUGUUACACCUUAGAAUUAUGAUGUCUUGCUUUAAGUCUGUGUCCUCCUUAGUAUAACUUAUCUAUCUUGUGCUAUUUAUGCUCCUAUUCACUCAUAUGCAUUAUGCAUAUCAUUUAGGUACGUUAAUUGAUCACGUGAUGUGGAAGCCAAGGUUUGGAUUGAUCUCAAGGUGAUGCUGAUGGAUGAAGCUAAAGUGGAUGAAUCAAACAAGUGCCAGGAUGAGAGAUGCUCACCAAGUGGUCAUCAUCUAACAACACUAACGUAGUGUUAUCCCAGGCAAGCCUCGGUGCAUUUGCCCCUUCCUUGCAUUUUAAAUAUUUUAUCACCUUAAAUGAUGCAUUAGGUGAUAGGAGUUGUGUGAUGAACAAUUGAUGCAUUACCAUUCCUUGGAAUUUGAAUACUAUACCUUGAUCCCUGAUUUAUAAAAAGAACUGAUAAUGCUUAGUCCUGCUUAGAAACUGAAAAAUCCUUUGUUUUCAAAAAGAAUGAUGUGGAACAUUGGUUAUGGACUUUUUUAUUCAAAAAUCAAAACAAACUAAGGUGAUGAAUCCUCUAUGGCCGGAGUGGACUCGUCACCCGAAAAGAGUACCCCUGCCGGGUACCAAAAAUGGGCAAGGGUUUGAAUAAAUCUAGACCAGACGCUGAGCAGACAUGGUCGCCCGUCUGUGUCGAUUAAGGAUCGUACUGAUUGUUGGCCUAAUGAUCUAGGACCUUUUAACUGGCCACAUACCUCAUCAUGGGUAAGCCUGAACCCGGCUAUUCCAUACGUGAAAAGACAACCGCACACUGGGCGUGGGAGAUGGUGGGAGUACCAGUUACCCUCCUGACAAGAGGCUGGAUGGUAGGGUAAUGUGCUCCUGGGUAGCGCGGACCAGUUCAUAUAGUGGAGGAUCCAUGGGAAUGGUUGACAUAUGCAAGGGUUAAGUGCUACAUAUGUCGUGUGGUUGGAGAUCCGCAGCUGGGUAUCAAUCAAUUCAGAUCGCCGUUACUUCUCGUAUAUGAAGACUGGAUCGCUGCCCUUCAUCAUAGAUAACAAGUGAAACAAAUUUUUGAUUUUAAAAGAAAGCUUUUAUAGGACAAGUGAAUGCUCUAGAUCAGGCAAAUCUAGAAUCAGAAAAGAACUCAACUUGCUAAAUAAAAUUUUAGCUUAAGGACCCAAUAUUAGUAAGCUCUUCUGCAAAAAUGAGUCUUUGAACUUGAUAAGCUAUACCUUGAAUCCUUUUAACCCAACAUGCCCUUGAGAGUCUUUUCUUUAGUCGGGUAAGUCUUGCUGAGUAAUUGUGUACUCAGGGUUUUAUUCCCAUUAUUGCUACAGGUUAUGAGUCACUUUGAUUCUGAUUGAUGUUAAGUGUCGGUGGGCUUGGCCUUCUUGUAUAAGUAUAUCCCAUCUUUAGCUUCUUUAUUGAGGAUUGUCACUUAAGCUAGCAUGUAUUUUCAAAUUUACAAAUACUUUAUAACAUUUCAAAUUGUAAUUCUUUUGAAUCACUUUCUUUUGUAAUCACUCCGAUGAGGUAUAAUAGAAUCUUGAUAAACUUGUAAUCUUUUUGUAAUAAAGAAUUUAUUUCCGCUGCAAGUGUUUGUAUGUGAGUUGUGUUUACUUAAUCCUGCGAUCUUGGCGGUAAGUGGUUUAUCCGGGGUCCUUAGGACACUCGAACAGAUCCUGUUAAGUUAUUUGGUGCACAUGCAUAGCCGUUUGAGGUCCUUGGCACAAGGACAGGUGCAUGUGGGCCCAAUAACUUGGGAGGUUCUGCCACAGCUGGUAUCGGAGCAAGAUUAAGUAUAAUACGAUCACAUACGUAUUUUCAAAAUGAAGUUUUGGUUUCGAAAAACCUAUCUUCAACUAAACACAUUGUUCGGUUUUGAAAACAGAUUUGAAAACUAUAAUGCUAGUGACAUCCUCUGUUAAGCCCUAAAUUAAGGACUACUAGGUGGCUUAGUUCAAAAUACUAACCCACAACCUGGGUAGGGUAAUGCAUACAUGUGUAAUAUUAUUUUUGAGGCCAUUCAAUUUUGAAUGGAUCGACGCUCAAGGUAAGGUGAGAUGUGAGAGCAUGACCGAACAAACGUCGGUCUAGGGAGUGCUUAAUUGUGGCGCAUGACUAUAUACAUGUUCUACAUAUGUAUAUACGAAAGCUGUGAGGUGGAGUAACUACUUUUCCGGGAAUUCAGUACCCCAUGAAUGUGUACGGACAUACAGACAUGGGAAUACUGAGAAGUGUAACGUACUUGUAACGACGCACCUACGCUCAGGUAAGAAGGUGAGUUACCAUAAUGGGCUGCCCUGUGGUUAAAGUGUGGCAGAGGCGCCUAUGCGUGGCUCGAAGCUUAAUGACGAGCUGGCCUCCAUAUAGAAAUAUAUGGAGUAUAAACUGUGAUAAACUGUCAUGUGUGAAUUGCAUCAUUGGGAAAUGGGCUGUGAUGGAAUUUUCUGCAGGUACACUAACAUCGAAAUUGUAUGUGUAGCUGAUGACUAGCAACAUAUCGAGAGAGAACGUAGAUAUGCCACUGAUAUAGAACGCUAUUGCCACAUUAUGUUGGCGAAAUCCGUGAGGCCGAAUAGGGCGAGCAUGCAUUUUGCUUGUUACAUUGUGUUUGUCGUUUGUGCACAAUAUGCUUCUCUCACCCUUAUUCUAAUAAUUGGUGAUUGCGAACAAACAUGCUUUUCUCAUCUUUAUUCCGAUAAUAAAUAAUUGGAAAAAAUGUGUGAAGCAUUACUGUCCUAUAAGCAAUUUUUAGUUUUGUUUGUUAUGUCCUUUAGACAUAUGUUUAUGUGGUAUGUGGUUCUGAUUAGUUUGACCGCUAGUGCAACUUGGGUUUGUUUUCGCGCUUGUGUGCUGGUAGAAGGCGGGUAGUUUGUUUGCAUAAACCCAAGGCUAGGCUAUGCCACUCGUUUAGUGAACCAUAACCCAAAUCGUUGUCAGUCCUUCGAAUUCUUCCAAGUUUCCAAGCAUGGAUGAAGUUGAAUUUUUCCGUUAUUACUACAUGAUCAAGCUCAUACCUACAAAUGCUUAGAUAGUCUAUUUAUUAGACCUAAGAUGCAUUCGGACUUCAAAUAAGGAUCUUGAGUCUGUGUUCUUGGCAAUUAACUUGUAACUCCCUUAGUGGUCGUAUUUCCAUCCUAGAUUCUGCCCUUGCUCAGUUGAUGCAGGUUGAGGUCUCUAUUGUAUUUGGCCUCUCCUUGCGGAUUAUCUUGUCGCUUUAUCAACCUAACCUAGGAAAGACAUGUCCGAUCAUUUUCUUGAAUUUAAUGCCUUUGGUUUCCUCAUAUCUCUCGAAGGCAUACCAAUUUACUCUUCCGAUCAUUUUCCUGCGUAUCUAAUCAGACGCUCAUCCUUGACCUUGAAAUUGUUGCGAUGGGCGUAGACAUAUGCUUGGGGCUGAAAUAACUGUCUCCCAUCAUACUCAUUCAUCAAAAAGUUUAGGUUAUGGCCAUGUCUUGUUCGUUUCAUCGGUCCAUGAUCUAUUUGGCUCUCUACUUAUAACAAUUCUUACAGGUGGAGCCUAUUUUGUAUAUUGUCAUCCUGGCUCAGUCUAUUUGUGCUGUGUGAGCUUUCUUAUUGGUUAUGUCUGGUAAUGGUGUUAUGAUUAAAAUUGAUGGUGCCGCGACGAAACCGAGGGCCUCCUGUGGGUGAUCAACACAUGGUUGCACUACUUGGCACGCGCUGGUAUCACAGUUAGUAGUCAUAAUCCAUUAUGAGACUAUAUCGAUAUGUUAUCUUUGUGCAAAUUGUUCUUACCACGUGAUAUUCAUUAUUGGUGCUAGUUCGAUGAUGGUGUCCUAGUUAAUGACUUAUGGUGUCGCGUAAACCCGAAAGUCUCAUGUGGUGGCCGACACAUGGUAGUGCUGUUCGGUACGCUGGUAUCGAAGUCUCUGGCUAUGAUCCAUUAUGGAACUACACUGACAUGUUAUCUUCCAUAGACUACUUCCUUGAAAUGAUUUCUAUGUUGUUUGUCAGAAUGAUCAAGCCACACAUGCCAUCACUAUUGGAUCAAAAGAGUAUAUACCUCUGAUGUAUUUCUUAAGUAAAGUUCUUACCAGUUCAGAAGUUUUCAUCGAAAAUCGAAACAUAUAUGUGUCUAAUCGUGUGAUAAAAUCACCUUUUUCAUGUGGGGACUCCUUUCUCUUGAUCUUUGUGGCAACUGCACCCAUGGAACCUUGCAUCGAUAGUGUGAUACAUGCUAUAUUCCCUAGAGAAACCAACAUCUUGGAGUACUCAUCUCUACUCGGAACUGCCAUAUUGUAAUACCCACUUUGUAAAUAAACUAAAAGGAGAAAAUCAUAUUCCUAUGAAUACAUGUGUGCCAUCUCUAAUUAUCAUUGCAUGUGAACACCUCAUAAAAUAGACAAAGGAUUAAUAAAAAUCAUUAAAUUGUGCAUCAUGCUGAGGUUUCAUUGUGUGUGCAUUUUUUGUGACAAUAAUGUAGAAAUAAAUAUGACAACACCUAAAUUAGAAUUUAAACCCUAAAGGGAAUUCUAGAAAUGUGGAGAAGAGAAAGAGAUAAAGGAUAUGAAUAAAUAAAUAAUAUAUGUAAAUAAAUACCUCCAGAAUUAGUAUCUCUAAAUGUUGAAAGUAUAAAUUGUAAUAAUGGGUCACAAGAGUUUGAAUUAAAUUUGAAUACAACUUGAGUUUGAAAAGAGAGAGAAAAGAAAAUAAAAAGAAAAAAAACUAAAACCUAGUUUGGGCUGGCUUCACCCUAUUCGGCCCAACAGGAGAUGCAACCCGCGCGGCCCAUUCCAGUCCUCGGUGCCGACAUGUGGGCCCAUCGUGGCAGCAUCACAACCGCGCGCGCUCACCCUCACGACCUCUGCCUGCGGGACCCGCGCCCCAGCCGCUCGCUUCUCGCUCCACUCACUGAUUCGCUGGCCCCACUGGCAGCAACUAACGACCGUGCACCGCGCGCGCCUGCUUCACCCUUCUGUACACCACAAUCGCAUUGCAACGCACGAACUACCAGCGAAACCAUGGAGGCGGCAGCGGGGUGCUAUUACGGUGCCGCUGCGGGGAUACUUCGCCUCUGCUUCUACCGGACUAUCGAGGUACUCUCUGAGCCUUCCCAAGGAUUGAUAGAAGGUAGUCAAAGUCGCGCCGCGUAUGAAGCAUAGCUAACGCCUCCGGGAUUCCUCGCCGGAAACUUCCAGCCGCCGUAAACCGCACUUCACCGUGGAUGGGAGCCCUUGUUGCAUCACUACCGAUAAUAGGUUCACCUUAAAGUUUGUGGUCGAUCGUAUUUCCUGUAGAACUAUUUGCAUGGGAAAUGAGUGCACUAGUGGCGUGGUCUCCGACGAACUCCGCAGUCGCGGGCCGGUGGGUGCCGUCAGGGGUGGUCAUGAGAUUGGUGAUGGCUCAGGGACCGUUGAUCCGGUCUUCAACGGCUGGGAUUAGUUGCCUUGUGUCGCGUUGACCGGCCAAAUGGUGGUCAUGAAUGUGUGAUCCUACGGUGGAAAACAACUUUAGGAUUCAUUAAACGCUUACCGUUAGAUCGGGAUCGGAUGGGCAUAGUUCCAUACCGACUCGUAAAGUGCGGGGUCUAAUCGUGGCCCUCGGAUUUGAUCUGAACGACCCUCAUCUGAGCAUACCCCUUCGCCAUGCCACUUUGCAGAAAACCGCUUAUAAUUUUAGAGAACCAACCCACAGUCCACCCUAUACAGCACUCUGAGUCAUAGGAAGAAUUACUAAGCGGUCCCUGUGUUUUCCAGAAAUAGGCGCCCAGUCCAGAGAACAGAAAAACCAGAGAAAUGAAUUUAGGAAUAGAUUUUUAGUAUUAAAUUAAUUACAGAAACUUGUUUAAUUUGUAGAAAAUGCAUAUGAACUCCAAAUUGAUCCAUUCUAGUUCCUAAUUUUUUGUAAUAUUAUUUUCUAACCAUUAGUCUCACUGUUUUGACAUGAAAACAAUAGUAAAAAUUUAUGUCUCACUUAAUCACACAUCAAGCACAUAAAACCUUGAAAAAUUCAUAACUUAAAAUCUAUAAUUCCAAAUUUAACGAUUCGAGUUCCUAUGUUCUUAUUUUAAUGUGUAGAUUAUUUUUAUACAUUUUGUUUACAUGUUUGGUGUGAUGUUAAUUUUCCCUUUAUACUAUGUAUGUUUGUAUUGAUGCGAGUAGACGAGCAAACUACAAAGGAUCCUGAGGUUCAGCUGGUAGAGACUGCUGAGCAGGAGCUCGUGGAAGGCAAGUUGUGCCCUUGAUCACUUCUUUUACCCAUUCAUGUUCUUAUUAAUCAUAAUGAUCUGCAUAGGUUAAUUUUGAUGGGACCCAAUAGGUUACCCUAGAUUUUGACUAUCUUUAUACCUUGCUUCACCACUAGUUUUACUACAAACUUUUUGGGUAGUACAUGCUAUUGCUUUAUGUGGCUUUGGGUAUAAAGAUAUUCAUCACUCAUUUUUAUACUUUUUAUUAUCUGUUUAUUUACUAUUCAUGAUAAGAUCAUUAUGUUAAUGGGAACAUGGAGAACCACCCGGGAAAACAGUGCUACCAUAAGGGUAUAAUGGGACGCCCUUGGCUGAUUAACUAGGAAAGCUAGUGGAUGACUACCUUACCCGAAAGGGGCAAGGGCAGUAGGGGAGUGGUCAGUGUAGGGAGGUCCUUGGGUUGAUUUUGCUGCGAUGGCGGUCAGGCGAGGGAUUCCUGCACUGGAGCUUCCUAUAAACUGUAGCGGGUUUUCUGAAGCUAGUGGAACUUUGUAAAGGCCUCGUAGUGGUACCCUGCCUCGCUUCCUUGGUAGAGGUGUAUGGAGUUUGAUCAGCUCUGUGGCAAAUGGGUAACACGACUUGUGGGUAAAGAUGUGCAACCUCUGCAGAGUGUAAAACUGGUAUACUAGCCGUGCUCAUGGUCAUGAGCGGCUCAGACACUCACAUGAUUAAUUUAUGGAACUUAAAUUCAAUUUGUCAUAUCAUAUCAUUGCAUCUGAGAUUAUUUUUAUUACUUUUACUUAUUAUUUCUAUGGGUUGGUAUUUACUUACACUUAGUAACUGCUAAUAAAAUUUUGACCAACUUAUAAAAGCAAUGCUCAGCUUCAGCCUUAUAUCAUUGAUCAGCCUUACACUUCAUGAACUCCCACCUUUGGUGAGUUUAUGCCACAUUAUUCCCCACAACUUGUUGAGCGAUGAACAUAUGUGAGCUCACUCUUGCUGUCUCACACCCCCCACAGGAGAAGAACAUGUGGUUUAAGUGGAGCCAAGUAUCGAGGAGUUCGAUUCGAUCUAGGUGGCGUCUCCCAGUCAGCUUUCUGGCGCCAAGGAUAGAUUGUAGAUCCUGCGAUAUUUAUCUCUUAUUUUGUAAGACUUCCGCUAUGUAAUAAAAUACUCUGAUUAUAUUGUGACAUUUAUCUCUAUACACUCUGUUAUUAUAUAUGUUGUCUUCUUUGGCGCAUGUAUGAGAUGCACCCGGCUUUGUUCUUUAAAGCCCGGGUGUGACAGAAGUGGUAUCAGAGGAAAUGUUGACUGUAGGAUGAAACCUAGAUAGAAAUGGACAAAACCCAUACCUACUUACCUUACUAUGAUUCUUUCUAUACUUAUCUUGAUCCUGUCUCACCUUGUACUGUUCUACUCUGAUCAUUCUUAUCUUUUCUGCUCUAAGACAAGAUGGAUUUCACACCUUGGAAUCUUACAUUUAUGACCUUUUUAAGGGAUAGAAAACCUAAGACAAAAUUAAAAUUAUUUUCUCUAUUUAAAAAUGUUGGUUGAUUGUUCUGAUGAUUAAUGCCUGAUGUGCUUCUUUGAUUGAUUGAAAUAGUAUAGACGGGCAUCUUAGCAUGUACCACCAUAAGGUAAUAUAAUAGCUUUAGUAGGUGACACACUAAUCUACUUAGCUAAUAAAUCCCCCGUAGUAACAAUUUCUCAUAAUUACUCGCCUUGUCUACAAUUCUUCCUUUCUUACCCUAUGUUUCUAACCUAGAUGGGCUACCCCUAUAUUGUUAGAUUUGAAGCAGUAUAGACGUGAUCCUUGGUAUGUCAUGGUUAAGAAAGGCAAAGGCUGUUUAUACACUGUGCUAAAGGAACCAUAGAACUCACUAGUUCCAAAGGAGAAAGAUUUGAAGUUGGAAUUGCAGUAACUACCGCCACCAAACUAGCGGCAUUCUUAGUCGAUGGGAAGUUUGUUGGUGACAACAUCCAUGUCGUAAGGAUUUUCCGGAUGUCUUUCUAGAGGAGUUACCAAGGAUGCCACCAGAUACGGAAGUUGAUUUUGUCAUAGAUCUCUUACCUGGAACUGCUUCUAUUUCUAAAUAGACAUAUAGGAUGUCGGUAGAAGAGUUAAAAGAACUCAAGAAGCACUUAACGGAGUUGCAAGAGGCUGGGUACAUUCGUCCGAGUUCCUCACCUUGGGGAGCGCCGAUUUUGUUUGUACAGAAGAAAGAUGGAUUGCAAGGGAUGUGCGUGGAUUAAAGGUCCCUUAAUGGUGUCACUAUGAAGAACAAGUAUCCAUUACCCCGCAUUGAAGAAUUUGAUCAGAUGAGAGGUGCAAGGGUAUUCUCGAAGAUUGAUCUCCGAUCGGGUUAUAACCAAAUGAAGAUUAGGCCAUCGGAUAUUCCCAAGACAACUUUCUCAACCCGAUAUGGAUUAUAUGAGUUCACUGUUAUGUCGCUUGGAUUAACUAAUGCACCAGCUUAUUUUAUGAAUUUGAUGAAUAAGGUGUUCAUGGAGUAUUUGGAUAGAUUCGUCGUAGUAUUUAUCAACGAUAUUCUUAUCUAUUCUAAGAGUGGAAGUGAUCAUGAGGAACACCUAAGAUUGGUGCUACAGAAGCUGCGAGAUAAUCAACUCUACACCAAGUUUAGCAAAUGCGAGUUUUGGAUUGAUAAGGUGCCAUUUCUUGGACAUAUCAUAUCUAAUGGAGAGAUAUCAGUGGAUCCUGCUAAAGUCAAGGAGAUUAUGGCGUGGAGCAUACCCACUACUGUAUGGAGAUUCGGAGUUUCUUGGGACUUGCAGGAUAUUAUCGGAGAUUUAUUGAAGGAUUCUCUAAGAUUGCUAAGCCUAUGACCUCGCUUUUGGAGAAGGAACGAGAGUUUAAGUGGGACGAGAAGUACCAAGAUAGUUUUAACCAACUGAAGUUGAGAUUGAUGUCAUCCUAGUGUUGGUUAUGCCAGAUCUACAGAAAGGAUUUGACAUUUAUUGUGAUGCCUGCGGCCAAGGCUUGGGAUGUGUCCUUAUGCGAGAAGGACACGUGAUUGCCUACGCGUCUCGUGAGUUGCGGAAACAUGAAUUGAACUACCCCACUCAUGACUUAGAACUGGCAGCCGUUGUGCAUGCGCUCAAAAUUUGGAGUCAUUAUAUCAUGGGAACUAAGUGCCAAGUAUACACGGAUCAUAAUAGUUUGAAGUAUAUAUUCACUCAGAAGGAUCUUAACCUUAGGCAACGCCGUUGGUUGGAGCUUAUUAAGGAUUAUGACUUGAAGAUUCAUUACCACCUAGGCAAGGCGAAUUUGGUUGUAGAUGCCUUGAGUUGGAAGGAGCACGUUCACUCCGCUAUUGUUGUCCAGCUACCUGAUGAAUUAGCAAAAGAUUUUGAGAGACUCAACCUGGGAAUUGUUACAUAUACGGAAGGAGUUACCAUUGAAUUGGCUCCUACCUUGGAGCAAGAGAUUCGUAAAGGACAGGUUGGUGAUGCUAAAAUUUAAGAGAUUAAGGAUCUGAUUACGGAAGGUAGAGUGCCUAAAUUCACUGAGGAUGAGCAAAGUACUAUAUGGUUCAAGGAUCGGAUAUGUGUUCUGGAGAUUGAUAGCCUUCAUAAGACUAUAUUAAAAGAAGCCCAUGAUUCUGAUUACUCUGUCCACCCUGGUAGUACUAAGAUGCAUCAGGAUUUGAAGCAAAAGUACUGGUGGUAUGUCUUGAAAAGAGAUGUUGCUGCACAUGUGGCUAAGUGUGAUGUAUGUCAAAGAGUCAAGGCCGAACAUCAAAGACCAGCUGGACUGUUGCACCCGCUUAAGAUACCCGAGUGGAAAUGGGAAGAAAUUGGUAUGGAUUUCAUUGUUGGACUACCCCGCACCCCUGCUGGGUAUGACUAUUUGGGUAAUUGUGGACAGAUUGACAAAAGUGGCUCAUUUCAUACCUAUGAGGAAUAAUUACACGGGAGCCAAGCUAGAAGAAUUGUAUAUGACUCGGAUAGUUUGUCUACAUGGAGUACUUAAGAAGAUCGUGUCAGAUCGAGGUUCAUAGUUUACCUCUCGGUUUUGGAAGAAGCUUGCAUGAGAGCUUGGAUACACAGUUGAAUUUUAGUUCGGCCUACCAUCCUCAGACUGAUGGGCAGACAGAAAGGACUAAUCAAGUGCUAGGGGAUAUGUUAAGAGCUUGUGCUCUUAAACAUGGUGGAAGUUGGGAUAAGAGCUUACCAUAUGCAGAGUUCUCUUAUAAUAAUAGCUAUCAGGCCAGUUUGAAGAUGUCACCGUUUGAGGCUCUAUAUGGCAGAAAAUGCAGGACCCCUCUAUAUUGGGAUUAGACUGGAGAAAGACAGUUCUUUGGACCUGAGCUUAUUCAAGAGGCAGAAGAACAAGUUCGAAUGAUAAGAGAAAAUUUGAGAAUUGCACAAUCCAGGCAAAAGAGCUAUGCUGAUAAUAGGAGAAGACUACUGGAGUUUAAGGAGGGUGAUCACGUGUAUGUGAAGGUGUCACCUAUCCGGGGUAUGAGGAGAUUUAAAGUUAAAGGAAAGUUGUCCCCUCGCUUCAUUGGACCUUUCUUGAUCUUAAAGCGAGUAGGAGAAGUUGCAUAUCAACUGAAGUUACCCGAUCAUCUAUCAGAUGUACAUGAUGUAUUUCAUGUGUCUCAGCUAAAGAAGUGCCUCAGGGUACCUGAGGAUCAGCUAUCGAUGGAGGACCUUAGUGUUCAAGAUGACCUGACUUAUGCUGAGUACCCUAUCGAGAUUCUGGACACUUUGACUCGAGUUACAAGAAAUAAGGUGAUAAAAAUGUGCAAAGUACAAUGGAGUCACCAUGGAGAGGAUGAAGCUACAUGGGAAAGUGAAGAAGAGCUUCGCAUAGAUUUUCCCCAUCUUUUCCCUAGUCCUUCCUAAAUCUCGAGGACGAGAUUCUUGUUAAGGGGGUAGGAUUUGUAAUACCCACUUUGUAAAAAAAAACUAAAAGGAGAAAAUCAUAUUCCUUUGAAUACAUGUGUGCCAUCUCUAAUUAUCAUUGCAUGUGAACACCUCAUAAAAUAAACAAAGGAUUAAUAAAAAUCAUUAAAUUGUGCAUCAUGCUGAGGUUUCAUUGUGUGUGCAUUUUUUGUGACAAUGUGACAAUAAUGUAGAAAUAAAUAUGACAACACCUAAAUUAGAAUUUAAACCCUAAAGGGAAUUCUAGAAAUGUGGAGAAGAGAAAGAGAUAAAGGAUAUGAAUAAAUAAAUAAUAUAUGUAAAUAAAUACCUCCAGAAUUAGUAUCUCUAAAUGUUGAAAGUAUAAAUUGUAAUAAUGGGUCACAUGAGUUUGAAUUAAAUUUGAAUACAACUUGAGUUUGAAAAGACAGAGAAAAGAAAAUAAAUAGAAAAAAAAACUAAAACCUAGUUUGGGCUGGCUUCACCCUAUUCGGCCCAACAGAAGAUGCAACCCGCGCGGCCCAUUCAAGUCCUCGGUGCCGACAUGUGGGCCCAUCGUGGCAGCAUCACAACCGCGCGCGCUCACCCUCACGACCUCUGCCUGCGGGACCCGUGCCCUAGCCGCUCGCUUCUCGCUCCACUCACUGAUUCGCUGGCCCCACUGGCAGCCACUAACGACCGUGCACCGCGCGCGCCAGCUUUGCUUCCUGCCCCGCUGCUUCACUUACAUGUGGGACCAUCCUGUCAGUUCUCUCCUCCCAAACUGAACACCGUGCAUGACGGACGUGCUCCGGGUUCGCGGGAUCCGUUCAUUUCGCCGGUAGCUUGCUUCCGCGAUUGGGACUCGGCCGACUCGCUGUGCGGCGGGGCCCACAUGGCGGCCACUCGGUCCGUGCUCGCGUCUCACCUCUCCCUGGCGCGUGGGCCCCACAGCAACUGCUCUUCUUCCCGGACGGAAGAAUCGGCAUGGUUGUUGCGCCGUGGCCGCCCCGGUCUACAGCUAUAGGUCGGUAAGGCCGAGCCCGCCCAUAAAUUUGAGCUACGACAAAACCCCCUCACCCUUCUAUACACCGCAAUCGCAUUGCAACGCACGAACUACCAACUAAACCAUGGAGGCGGCAGCGGGGUGCUAUCACGGUGCCGCUGCGGGGAUACUUCGCCUCUGCUUCUACUGGACUAUCGAGGUACUCUCUGAGCCUUCCCAAGGAUUGAUAGAAGGUAGUCAAAGUCGCGCCGCGUAGGAAGCAUAGCUAACGCCUCCAGGAUUCCUCGCCGGAAACUUCUAGCCGCCGUAUACCGCACUUCGCCGUGGAUGGGAGCCCUUGUUGCAUCACUACCGAUAAUAGGUUCACCUUAAAGUUUGUGGUCGAUCGUAUUUCCUGUAGAACUAUUCGCAUGGGAAUUGAGUGCACUGGUGGCGUGGUCUCCGGUGAACUCCGCCACCGCGGGCCGGUGGGUGCCGUCAGGGGUGGUCAUGAGAUUGGUGAUGGCUCAGGGACCGUCGAUCCGGUCUUCAACGGUUGGGAUUAGUUGCCUUGUGUCGCGUUGACCGGCCAAAUGGUGGUCAUGGAUGUGUGAUCCUAUGGUGGAAAACAACUUUAGGAUUCAUUAAACGCUUACCGUUAGAUCAGGAUCGGAUGGCAUAGUUUCAUACCGACUCGUGAAGUGUGGGGUCUAAUCGUGUCCCUCGGAUUUGAUCUGAACGGCCCUCAUCUGAGCAUACCCCUUCGCCAUGCCACUUUGUAGAAAACCGCUUAUAAUUUUAGAGAACCAACCCGCAGUGCACCCUGUACAACACUCUGAGUCAUAGGAAGAAUUACUACGCGGUCCCUGUGUUUUUUAGAAAUGGGCGCCCAGUCCAGAGAACAGAAAAACCAGAGAAAUGAAUUUAGGAAUAGAUUUUUAGUAUUAAAUUAAUUACAGAAACUUGUUUAAUUUGUAGAAAAUGCAUAUGAACUCCAAAUUGAUCCAUUGUAGUUCCUAAAUUUUUGUAAUAUUAUUUUCUAACCAUUAGUCUCACUGUUUUGACAUGAAAACAAUAGUAAAAAUUUAUGUCUCACUUAAUCACACAUCAAGCACAUAAAACCUUGAAAAAUUCAUAACUUAAAAUCUAUAACUCCAAAUUUAACGAUUCGAGUUCCUAUGAUCUUAUUUUAAUGUGUAGAUUAUUUUUAUACAUUUUGUUUACAUGUUUGGUGUGAUGUUAAUUUUCCCUUUAUACUAUGUAUGUUUGUAUUGAUGCGAGUAGACGAGCAAACUACAGAGGAUCCUGAGGUUCAGCUGGUAGAGACUGCUGAGCAGGAGCUCGUGGAAGGCAAGUUGUGCCCUUGAUCACUUCUUUUACCCAUUCAUGUUCUUAUUAAUCAUAAUGAUCUGCAUAGGUUAAUUUUGAUGGGACCCAAUAGGUUACCCUAGAUUUUGACUAUCUUUAUACCUUGCUUCACCACUGGUUUUACUACAAACUUUUUGGGUAGUACAUGCUAUUGCUUUAUGUGGCUUUGGGUAUAAAGAUAUUCAUCACUCAUUUUUAUACUUUUUAUUAUCUGUUUAUUUACUGUUCAUGAUAAGAUCAUUAUGUUAAUGGGAACAUGGAGAUCCACCCGGGAAAAUAGUGCUACCACAAGGGUAUAAUGGGACGCCCUUGGAUGAUUAACUAGGAAAGCUAGUGGAUGACUACCUUACCCGAAAGGGGCAAGGGCAGUAGUGGAGUGGUCAGUGUAGGGAGGUCCUUGGGUUGAUUUUGCUGCGAUGGCGGUCAGGCGAGGGAUUCCUGCACUGGAGCUUCCUAUAAACUGUAGCGGGUUUUCUGAAGCUAGUGGAACUUUGUAAAGGCCUCGUAGUGGUACCCUGCCUCGCUUCCUUGGUAGAGGUGUAUGGAGUCUGAUCAGCUCUGUGGCAAAUGGGUAACACGACUUGUGGGUAAAGAUGCGCAACCUCUGCAGAGUGUAAAACUGGUAUACUAGCCGUGCUCACGGUCAUGAGCGGCUCGGACACUCAUAUGAUUAAUUUAUGGAACUUAAAUUCAAUUUGUCAUAUCAUAUCAUUGCAUCUGAGAUUAUUUUUAUUACUUUUACUUAUUAUUUCUAUGGGUUGGUAUUUACUUACACUUAGUAACUGCUAGUAAAAUUUUGACCAACUUAUAAAAGCAAUGCUCAGCUUCAGCCUUAUAUUAUUGAUCAGCCUUACACUUCAUGAACUCCCACCUUUGGUGAGUUUAUGCCACAUUAUUCCCCACAACUUGUUGAGCGAUGAACAUAUGUGAGCUCACUCUUGCUGUCUCACACCCCCCACAGGAGAAGAACAUGUGGUUUAAGUGGAGCCAAGUAUCGAGGAGUUCGAUUCGAUCUAGGUGGCGUCUCCCAGUCAGCUUUCUGGCGCCAAGGAUAGAUUGUAGAUCCUGCGAUAUUUAUCUCUUAUUUUGUAAGACUUCCUCUAUGUAAUAAAAUACUCUGAUUAUAUUGUGACAUUUAUCUCUAUACACUCUGUUAUUAUAUAUGUUGUCUUCUUUGGCGCAUGUAUGAGAUGCACCCGGUUUUGUUCUUUAAAGCCCGGGUGUGACACAGAUGCUAUCGCUAUUAUGGACAGGGUUACAUGCUUCUCUACUCUUAAAAGUUUUUCGCUCCGAAUCUCAGGACGAGAUUCUUUUAAGGGGGGAGGGUUGUAACACCCCAGGUGUUUAUCGUCUGCUCGACCACGAGUGCAGACUUUAACACGUGCUAGCGGUGAAUAAAAUGGACACUAAAUUUUAAUCAUCUUUGUCUAUCACGAUUUUGAUAUCGUGUCUAUCUCCAUGUGUUUAAAUUGUCCUAAAUUAUUUUACAAAAAUUCAGACUUUAGUAAUCCUUCAAAACAACAAAUCCAAUAUCGUUUGGGUUGAGCCCUCGACGUCUUGCCCAAACUCUAAUCCUUGAAAUCGAAUUGGGUUCCUUAAAAUUCGUUUGACAUUCUUUCAUGCUUGCAUUGCACAUGUCUAUCUGUGGCUUGGCAGCAUGGUGCGUAGCAGGUGCUAACCGGUGUCUGGAUAGCGCACAACCUCUUACCCACGUGAACGAUGCGUGACAUCACUUCUAAAAGGAUCGCGAGAUCGAUGCCGCAACGAUCUCGUGUAUUUAUUUCGCGAAAUGUCGAGUCUACGUUGUUUGGAUAGCACGUGAUCUUCGUCCAAACUGAACAGAAUCAAAUACAUAUUUUGAACAUAGAAGCUGAUGUCGUAGUUCGAUCCGAGUUCCCUUCCUUCUGAUUCAAACAUUCGAGUGUAGACAGUUGGUAAAGUUUAUUUGUUUGUAGGAGCGUCUAACAAAUCGAAUACGAUCCCAAUAUUGUCGUCAGUGUCAGCUUGAUCCGAACCAUUUUUUAUCUUCAAAAUCCUAGUUUCUGAAACUGUAUUUAUAUGUGUAUUUGCAUUCGUAUUUUUUAGAAUGAAAUGAAAUUAAGUGAGAAAAUCUCAUUUUUUCUUUAUUCUCCAUCGCUUUUCUUUCUUCUUAUCCAAUCAGAUAUUUUCUUUUUGCUUCUCGAAGCUGCAACUUCCAGACCGUUCUCAUCCCAUCGUUUCCUUCUGUGCUCGAGUGCGGCAGCCAACACUUGGGCGCUCAGCUCCCUGCCCCUCCCAUGGCGGCUCCCCCUGAUCCCUCCCUGCGCGACUUCCUCUUCCCUGCUGCGCCCCUGCAUCAGAUCUCCUCCGUCUCUUGUCGAGCUCCCUCCCUGCUCCAAUCUUCUCCAUGGUCGCCCCUUUCUUUGCCUCUGGUGGUCGAGCUCGCCCCUGCCUUUUCUGCUCGCUCAAGCUCCUCUUCCAUGGCGCCAAGCCCUUUUCACUCGCUAUCCCUCUGCUUGACGCCCAGCCCCAGCUCGCCCCUGCCCUCAGCCAUGGUGCCUAGCCACCGCCGCCCCUACUUUCCAUGGCGGCACUUCCUACUUCCUGGUGGCCGGCGCCCUCCCCAACCUCUUCUCUACUGGUGGUCGUCUUAAGACCCUCCCAUGUCGCCUAGUCUUCUUCCCAUGGCGAGCACCGUCGUCGAUCUGCGCAACCGCUGUUUGGUUGUCGUUCCACCUCCGUCGACCUCCUGCAUGCAUGAACAGCAGCAGCCCCGUGAUCUCCACGUCGCAUGCGCCGAUCCGAUCCGCGCAGCCCCAACGCGUCGAUGUCGUUGGCUGCAUGAUUUUUGGGCAGCCCGGUUGCGGUGUCGUGAAACCCGAUGAGGCCUCACGUCCCUGCAUGCCUUGUGUUUGAUGUAAUGCCAAACCUAUAAAUUGAUGUCGUUUCUUGUAGCCCUCUGUCGAUGACACGUCUGCUCUUUAUCCUAGCUCCUCGUCGUAGUUCCGUGCGUUGUCGGUGAGGCAUCCUUUUCUUUUUAUAUUCAAUUUAGUUUUCACUUGGCAUGGAUGGUUAGCUGUUGAUUACAUUUAUAUGUAUAUGUGUGUUUUGUAAGGAGAGGAAUUUCAUGUGUGUGAAGAGAAGCAAGGCAUGGGACGUUUGCUAGGUGUCAAAUAGAAAGACCGAACCCAAACCAUCGCCGUGUUCACGGACGCCGCGUCGAGUUUAGUUGUGGUAAGUCGAUCCAUUGUUUCCGUUGGUCGGAUGGAUGGAUUAGUUGGAUGUUUUAAUUAUGUCGGUCCUAUUGAUAGUACCAUGUGUGUCAUGGUUGUAGGUAUAAUACUUAUUGAAAUGUACGAGUCACUUGCAGCGAUUUGGUCGCUGUCGUGUCUAUGUAUAUGGAGUUGAUGUCCGGCUAGGGGAAUCAUUAUGCUAUAUGUGGUGAUCGAUUAGGAGUCUUGACCAAGUGUUGAUUGAUACUU